GAUGAACGCUGGCGGCGUGCUUAACACAUGCCAGUCGAACGAUGAAGCCCAGCUUGCUGGGCGGAUUAGUGGCGAACGGGUGAGUAACACGUGAGUAACCUGCCCUUGACUCUGGGAUAAGCCCGGGAAACUGGGUCUAAUACCGGAUAGGAGCGCCUGUCGCAUGACGGGUGCUGGAAAGAUCUUUCGGUCAUGGAUGGACUCGCGGCCUAUCAGCUUGUUGGUGAGGUAACGGCUCACCAAGGCGACGACGGGUAGCCGGCCUGAGAGGGUGACCGGCCACACUGGGACUGAGACACGGCCCAGACCCCUACGGGAGGCAGCAGUGGGGAAUAUUGCACAAUGGGCGAAAGCCUGAUGCAGCGACGCCGCGUGAGGGAUGACGGCCUUCGGGUUGUAAACCUCUUUCAGCAGGGAAGAAGCGAAAGUGACGGUACCUGCAGAAGAAGCACCGGCUAACUACGUG
rnacentral:rRNA from 1 species